rnacentral:lncRNA from 1 species
GACAAACACACUAGACUCGGGCUCCAUUAGCGACCUUAAGCAAUUUCACACAUUCGUUGAUUCAAGAAAUACCGUUUUAUCAUUAUUGAACUUUAAUACCGUGAUAGGAAAUAGGGUGAGGGGUCCUUACUUGUUUCGGGGUCCGAACACGGCUUUAUAGUGCGCCUACAGGCUGUCCCUAAUUUUUUCUGAAUUUUUCCCGAGAAACUGAAACGCACUACUGGUACCUGUACGUGUUCCAAAAAAUCCCAAAUUAGGCCCAGGGCCCCUUUCAGCCAAUAUCGCAAUUCCGGCACGGUGGCUCCGCCGUGCUCCGGCGACGGCACCGCCGCUUGCAGUGGCAAUUUGCCUCGGUUUGGCUGUUUUUGACCAAAUUCGGCCACACUUGCAUCGAUCCUUGCGAUUAAACAACUCUAGGGCCCUCGGGGGGCCAAAAAAUUACGGAAAACCAAAGCUUACCGGCGGCGGUGCUCUCGGGUGCGGCCGCUCUCUGGUGAAGUUCAUGUUUUGGUGAUUCGGCUCUGAUCAACCUGUAGAGAAAAGAAUGGUGAUCACGGUGAUAUAAAAAUUGCAUUAAACGGAGGCCGGAAAGGGCCUCAUCGGAAGCAAAAACUGAGGAGGGACGCGGCGGCGCCGCUGGGUUUCGGCCGUGUUUUCCGGCCGUUUGGCCGGGAUUUUGGCUCCGAUUUGGCCACAGGGGAAAUCAGCGUGGAAAAACGAGUAAGGUAUGAAAUUUACCUCGAUCGACGGUCGGAAGUCCCUCCGGUGCGGCGGCGGGUGGCGGCGGCCGGCUUCUGGUUCGUCUUCUCCGGCGAGGGCAGGCGGCUAGGGUUUUGUGGUCUGGUGUGGGGGUCUUAUUUAUACCCUUUUGCCUUUUGAUCUCAGCCGUCCAUUUUGAUUUAAUCUGGGCCGUCCGUUUUUUAUUGAAUCUGGGCCGUCCGUGCGAUUGCAUCUGGGCCGUCCGAUCGCACAUACGCGGAUCGCCAACGUGGUCCGUCCCGGAUCGAUGUGGUCUUGCCACGUGGCAGGUCCCGGUUGGCCGGGACUGCUGACUGGGUCUGCUGACGUGGCCCUCUUUUUUUUUUCUUCAAUUUCCCGGGCGCUACAACUCUCCCCCCCUUAAAGAAAUUUGGUCCCCAAAUUUGCCUCGUUACUCUUGAUCGAACAGAUGGGGAUAUUGGGCCCUAAAUUCUUAUUCCAGUUCCCAAGUAGCCUCCCUGGGCGUGUGGUUCUGCCACACGACUUUUACAAAUGAUAUUUCCCGGUUGCGGAGUAUUCUGCUCUCUCGGUCCGUGAUACCGACCGGUACUUCUUCAUAAGACAAGUCCUCUCGGAGUGGAAGCGGUUCAUGAACCAAGACAUGAGAAGGGUCCGGAUUGUACUUACGUAGCAUAGAUACGUGAAACACAUUAUGAACCCGGGAGAGCUCAGGAGGCAGUGCAAGUCUGUAGGCAGUGGUACCAAUCUUGUCUAAAAUUUCAAAUGGUCCAAUAUAUCUGGGGUUUAAUUUUCCCCUCCUGCCGAACCUAUUAAUUCCCUUGAAGGGGGUGACUUUAAGAAACACCCGGUCGCCUUUCUCAAAGGCCAGGUCUCUCCUCUGGGUAUCAGCAUAACUCUUCUGCCUACUCUGAGCUGUCUGGAUGUUCUUCUUGAUCUUAACUAUCUUGGACGUGGUUUCUUCUACCAAAUCCGGGCCAAACAAUCUUCUAUCGCCCACUUCCUCCCAACAAAUCGGUGACCUUCACGGACGCCCGUAUAGCGCCUCGUAUGGGGCCAUGCCGAUGCUUGCUUGGUAACUGUUGUUGUAAGCAAACUCUAUCAGAGGUAGGUGGUCAUCCCAAUGGCCCCCGGAAUCAAGAACACAAGCUCGGAGCAUAUCCUCCAGCGUACGAAUUGUCCUCUCUGAUUUUCCAUCGGUUUGGGGGUGGAAGGCAGUACUAAGAGACAGCUUUGUUCCCAUAGCUUGCUGGAAACUAUUCCAAAAGCGAGAAGUGAAUCUGGGAUCCUUGUCGGAUACCACUGUCACUAGAACUCUAUGCAGUCUGACUAUCUCCCGGAUAUACAUUCUUGCCAACUUGUCCAAAGAAUCAGUCAUUCUGAUGGCCAGGAAAUGGGAAGACUUAGUGAGUCGGUCAACAAUUACCCAUAUAGCAUCAUGUCCCGAUCGUGCCUUGGGUAGUCCCGAUACGAAGUCCAUGGUGAUGUGUUCCCACUUCCACUCUGGAAUCGAUAAAGGCUGAAGUAACCCGCCUGGGCGUUGAUGUUCUGCUUUGACCUGCUGACAUACCAAGCACUUAGAUACAAAGUCGGCUAUAUAUCCCUUCAUCCCAUUCCACCAGAACCGAGGUCGCAUAGUUUGGUACAUUUUCGUACUUCCUGGAUGCAUGGCGAACCUUGAACUAUAGGACUCUGUCAUGAUGUCUCUUUUUAACUCACUGUCGUCUGGGACACACACUCUGUCCUUGAAACGAAUCAAUCCGUCGGCAGAGAUCUGAAAUUCUGAGCUCAUUCCAUGUUCUGCAUCCUUCUUGCGGGUUACUAGGGUGGGGUCGACUGACUGUGCUUCCUUUAUUCUUUGGAUUAACUCGGGUUGGACUGCUAGGUGGCCCAAACAUGUGACUCUCUUCAGAUCUCGCAGGCGAACCUGCUGUGUAGCCCCAAUGGACCUACAUUCUGAAACUAUCAGAUGGGCUAAGGUGCCUGCACUUUUCCUGCUGAGGGCAUCGGCCACUACGUUGCCCUUACCUGGAUGGUAUAGGAUGUCACAAUCAUAGUCCUUGAGGAGUUCCAUCCACCUUCUCUGACGCAUGUUGAGAUCCUUUUGAGUGAAGAUGUGCUUCAAACUCUUAUGAUCGGUGUAGAUCUGAAAUGUCUCUCCAUACAAAUAAUGGCGCCAGGUUUUCAAGGCGUGUAUGAUUGCGGCAAGCUCCAAGUCAUGGGUAGGAUAGUUCUUCUCAUGAUUCUUUAGCUGUCUAGACCCAUAUGCUAUAACCUUUCCAUGCUGCAUUAGGACACAACCCAGGCCCAGAUAGGAGGCAUCACUAUAAACUGUGUACCCUCCUGAUCCACUCGGUAGAGCCAGCACUGGUGCAGUAGUCAGUCGCUUCUUCAACUCUGAAAAACUCAUUUCACAGUUCUCAUUCCAUUCAAACUUUGCAUUCUUCUUUGUGAGUCGGGUUAGAAGAGCUGCUAGACUAGAGAACCCUUCGACAAACCGGCGGUAAUAACCUGCCAUCCCUAGGAAACUACGAAUUUCCUUAACUGUUGUCAGCCUUUCCCAACCAAGUACCGCUUCAACCUUUUCGGGGUUCACCGAGACCCCUUCCUUCGAUAUAACAUGUCCUAGGAAGGCGGUUUGCUCGAGCCAAAAUCCACACUUGCUCAACUUCGCAUACAACUUCUUUUCCCUGAGUACCUGUAGGACUUGGACAAGAUGAUGAGCAUGUUCUUCCCUACUUUUUGAGUAGACUAAGAUAUCAUCGAUGAACACGAUGACAAAUUGAUCCAAGAAUUCUCUGAAGAUCUUGUUCAUUAGAUCCAUAAAGAUGGCCGGGGCGUUGGUUAGCCCAAACGGCAUAACCAGGAACUCAUAGUGUCCGUACCUGGUUCGGAAUGCCGUCUUGGGGAUGUCUUCUGCUCUCACUUUUACCUGAUGAUAACCUGAUCGUAGAUCUAUUUUAGAAAAGACCUGUGCACCCUGCAACUGAUCGAAAAGGUCAUCAAUCCGGGGAAGAGAGUACUUGUUCUUAAUUGUUACCUUGUUUAUCCUUCUGUAAUCAAUGCACAGUCUCAACGUUCCAUCUCCUUUCUUUGCAAAAGUAACCCCGGCACCCCAUGGAGAAACGCUGUGUCUAAUGAAGCCACUGUUUUGUAGCUCAGUGAUAUGUUUUCUUAGUUCUUCCAUCUCGAUGCGGCUCAUUUGGUAAGGAGCUACCGAGAUGGGCUGGGUAUCUGGCUGUAAAUCUAUGGUGAACUCGACCUCUCUGUCCGCUGGUAGACCGGGCAGUUCAUCCAGAAAUACGUCUGGAAAGUCUCGGACUACUAGAAUCUCUUGGAUACAAACUUCUUUCUUGGGUUUACCAUGUACCACGUCCGGGUCUGCGUCGGCAUCCUUCUGGGUAAGGUUGUAAACUCUGCCCUGGAUUGGAGGCCUUCUUUGAUUCUGGUUCCUAGGGCAUUCCCUUGCAUAGUGCUGGGCACUGCCGCAUAUGCGACAGGUGUUGUUGAGGCAGUAGCAGGGUCGGUCCCCGUGAUCCCUGCCGCAGUACUGGCAGAUCUUCCCGCGUGCUGCCCCCGUAGCCUGAGGGGGGGCCUGGACGACGGGUCUGGGUCUCUUACUGGGUUGGACAGGCAUGGUAGGCUCUGGCCUGCGGAGCGGGGCUGAGGGUCGGGAACUUCCCGCUAGUUGAGGGCAGGUGUCGAAGCUCCUUUCUAUGAUCUGCGCCUUUGCUAGGACUGCUGAAUAUGUCUCGAGCUCCAUCACCAGUAAGUGCUAUCUGAUCUCCGGGCGGAGACCCCACUGGAAUUUCCUGGCCUUUCGGCCCUCAUCCAACAAUGUCUCCGGGGCAUGUCGGCCCAGCUCCAGGAACUUGCGGGCAUACUCCGACACUGUCAUAUUACCCUGGACCAACUGAGCAAAUUCAAUUUCCUUUAAAUGUUGGAUGUGCUUAGGGAGAUACUCCGCAUGGAAAGCCGCUAGGAACUGCUCCCAAGUAACUGGUACAGGCAGGGUGGCCCGCUUGAGCUCCCACCAGCGUACUGCUUCCCCUACCAGCAUGUAGGAGGCAAUGGCAGCCCUCUGCUCAGGAAUUACUCCCAAGGUCUCAAAGGGCUCGCUCAGUCUCCGCCAACCAGUAUUGGGCCUCUUCAAAAGAGGGUUCCCCCGAAAAAGUAGAAAGGUUCAGUCUCCUGUACCCUCCUCUAUGAAACCCAGGGGUCGAUCAAGGAGGGGGGCGGGGUCCCGAGAGUAAAGGAACUGGGGGCCGGCUGAAGGUGAACUGGGGGACUCUGUGGUGGCGCCUGCUGAUGUGGUGGGGCACUGGAAUGUGCUGUGGCGGUACCUGUUGGUACUGUGGCUGUGGUACCGGGUCGUACCGCGGCUGUGGUGCCGGGUGGUACUGUGGAGGAACAGGCUCCUGCCGGGUGGCUCGGGAUCAGCUGCUGUAGCGGGGCUCAACUUGCGCUAGCAGAGGAGGUCCCAGUAACUCCCUUCUCUCAUCUUGCCUUUGCUGGGCAGCUGCGAGAGCCUCCACCAUCUCGAAUAGUCUAUCUAAAUCCUCCCGAAGUGAAUUAUCUGGGGUCGCUCGGUUUAGUGGGGGCCUUCCUCUCCUCAUUCCCGUGUACCUGCAUUCACAAGGAAUGAUUGAGUAACGAUAUAUCGGUGAGUAUUUCUCAAAGGCACUAUUGUGUAAGGGAUGGGUCCGAGGAAAUGCGGCUCUGAUACCAACUGUAACGGCCCAGGAAAUUUAGAAUGGAAUGUAUAUUAAAAAUAUCAAAUGCGGAAGCGAAGUCAAAAAUUUGAUUAACAUCCCUUACACUAAAACUAAAAAUGUGCUCACAAUAUAAAAGAUCAAACUACCUAAAGGAGAAACUUGAAAGUAAAAGCUACGAAUAUGACUAUGGGGUCUUUAGGCGUCCCCUUCGUCGUCCUCCUGCGGAACCGGCUCGGGAACAAUAUCUUCCUGAUCUGAAAUGAUUUAAUAAGGAAUGAGCUACACUAGCCCAGUAAAGACAUCACGAUAUCUCACCGUCACGGAGGUAAAGGUGGGUAGAAAAUACAAAAAGACCAAUGGAGCAUAAUUUACAACAAAACCUUUUAUCAAUAAUAAAACCUUUACCAUUUACUUACCUCGGUGAAAUUCAUAAAACAAUAUACGAAAGCAAUAACAUCAUCAUCAUCAUGAAAUCAUAUAUAAAUUGUAUAACGUAAUACUUAUCAAGUCUUUCGUAAUUCAAUCAUUACACAAUAUAUUUUCCUCAUUUACCAGCCCACUAGUAUCCAUGGGGAUCCAUAGGGGUCCCGCUACCCGUUAACCCUUAACGCUUGAAAUCAUAUUCCAGGGCCGUCCUCAUACCCCGUCCGGUAUGGGCGCCAAAACUAUAAACCUCAUUACCCCGUCCGGUAUGAGGGUGAAACGGGCCGUCCCCAUACCCCGUCCGGUAUGGGCACCAAAACACAUAAGAUCUCCAUACCCCGUCCGGUAUGGGAGACCACAAUCCCGGUAGGGUUCCCUACGGACCCGGUCCGUCCACCAUCUCCCAGGAUAUCUAGUCAGGCUGACCACAUUAUACGAUUACCCAUUUACAUAAUCUUUGAUUCUCAUUUUCCUCGGUCAGCAUCAUCAAUCCACAUACAAACAAACAAAACGGUAAUUUACGCCAAACAAACAACAUACAGCAUCAAUAUCCCAGUCAUUCAAUCCAUAGUCAAUAAAAUAGUAAAAUAUGCACACGAAACUAUAAAAUGAAAACAUCAAAUCUCAUACUGCAUUUAAAACUGUAAAACAGGCCAAAUAACAGUUAAAUGACAAACACACUAGACUCGGGCUCCAUUAACGACCUUAAGCAAUUUCACACAUUCGUUGAUUCAAGAAAUACCAUUUUAUCAUUAUUGAACUUUAAUACCAUGAUAGGAAAUAGGGUGAGGGGUCCUUACUUGUUUCGGAGUCCGAACACGGCUUUACAGUGCGCCUACAGGCUGUCCCUAAUUUUUCCUGAAUUUUUCCCGGGGAACUGAAACGCACUACUGGUACCUGUACGUGUUCCAAAAAAUCCCAAAUUAGGCCCAGGGCCCCUUUCAGCCAAUAUCGUAAUUCCGGCACGGAGACUCCGCCGCUUGCGGCGGCGAUUCGCCUCGGUUUGGCCGUUUCCGGCCGAAUUCGGCCACACUUGCAUCGAUCCUUGUGAUUAAACAACUCUAGGGCCCUCGGGGGGCCAAAAAAUUACGGAAAACCGAAGCUU